rnacentral:rRNA from 1 species
UACGUAGGUGGCAAGCGUUGUCCGGAAUUAUUGGGCGUAAAGCGCGCGCAGGCGGGAAUCUAAGUCUGUCUUAAAAGUGCGGGGCUCAACCCCGUGAUGGGAUGGAAACUGGGUUUCUUGAGUGCAGGAGAGGACAGUGGAAUUCCCAGUGUAGCGGUGAAAUGCGUAGAUAUUGGGAGGAACACCAGUGGCGAAGGCGACUGUCUGGACUGUGUCUGACGCUGAGGCGCGAAAGCCAGGGAAGUGAACGGG